AAGAACCUGAAACCGUGUACGUACAAGCAGUGGGAGCACCCUUUGGGGUGUGACUGCGUACCUUUUGUAUAAUGGGUCAGCGACUUAUAUUCUGUAGCAAGGUUAACCGUAUAGGGGAGCCGGAGGGAAACCGAGUCUUAAUUGGGCGUUAAGUUGCAGGGUAUAGACCCGAAACCCGGUGAUCUAGCCAUGGGCAGGUUGAAGGUUGGGUAACACUAACUGGAGGACCGAACCGACUAAUGUUGAAAAAUUAGCGGAUGACCUGUGGCUGGGGGUGAAAGGCCAAUCAAACCGGGAGAUAGCUGGUUCUCCCCGAAAGCUAUUUAGGUAGCGCCUCGUGAAUUCAUCUCCGGGGGUAGAGCACUGUUUCGGCUAGGGGGCCAUCCCGGCUUACCAACCCGAUGCAAACUGCGAAUACCGGAGAAUGUUAUCACGGGAGACACACGGCGGGUGCUAACGUCCGUCGUGAAGAGGGAAACAACCCAGACCGCCAGCUAAGGUCCCAAAGUCAUGGUUAAGUGGGAAACGAUGUGGGAAGGCCCAGACAGCCAGGAUGUUGGCUUAGAAGCAGCCAUCAUUUAAAGAAAGCGUAAUAGCUCACUGGUCGAGUCGGCCUGCGCGGAAGAUGUAACGGGGCUAAACCAUGCACCGAAGCUGCGGCAGCGACGCUGAUGCGUUGUUGGGUAGGGGAGCGUUCUGUAAGCCUGCGAAGGUGGC
rnacentral:rRNA from 1 species